GAUGAACGCUGGCGGCGUGCCUAAUACAUGCAAGUCGAGCGAACAGACGAGGAGCUUGCUCCUUCGACGUUAGCGGCGGACGGGUGAGUAACACGUAGGUAACCUACCUAUAAGACUGGGAUAACUUCGGGAAACCGGAGCUAAUACCGGAUAAUAUUUCGAACCGCAUGGUUCGAUAGUGAAAGAUGGCUUUGCUAUCACUUAUAGAUGGACCUGCGCCGCAUUAGCUAGUUGGUAAGGUAACGGCUUACCAAGGCAACGGUACGUAGCCGACCUGAGAGGGUGAUCAGCCACACUGGAACUGAGACACGGUCCAGACUCCUACGGGAGGCAGCAGUAGGGAAUCUUCCGCAAUGGGCGAAAGCCUGACGGAGCAACGCCGCGUGAGUGAUGAAGGUCUUCGGAUCGUAAAACUCUGUUAUUAGGGAAGAACAAACGUGUAAGUAACUGUGCACGUCUUGACGGUACCUAAUCAGAAAGCCACGGCUAACUACGUG
rnacentral:rRNA from 1 species